GUGAGCCAGUACAGGAUGGACCCGCGUCUGAUUAGCUAGUUGGUAAGGUAACGGCUUACCAAGGCGACGAUCAGUAGCCGACCUGAGAGGGUGAUCGGCCACAUUGGAACUGAGACACGGUCCAAACUCCUACGGGAGGCAGCAGUGGGGAAUAUUGCACAAUGGGCGAAAGCCUGAUGCAGCAACGCCGCGGGAGUGAUGAAGGCCUUCGGGUCGUAAAACUCUGUCCUCAAGGAAGAUAAUGACGGGACUUGAGGAGGAAGCCCCGGCUAACUACGUGCCAGCAGCCGCGGUAAUACGGAGGGGGCUAGCGUUAUCCGGAUUUACUGGGCGUCAAGGGUGCGUAGGCG
rnacentral:rRNA from 1 species